ensembl:lncRNA
GACAACGGGCAAGGGUCCUCUGGUGGUUCAGAGGAGUCCUGCCCAGCCAUAAUAUUCCACCUGACACAGAGCUGUCCCCCUCAAAUGGCCUUUAUUUGCUUCCUGGAACUAUUCAUUCAAGUGUGUCCUGGCACUUCCCCAGUUCUCCAGGAAAUGUUAAACAGCUGUUACCCUGAAGAAAAGUCAGCCACUUCAGCAAGCGCUCUGUAAAAUUCCUGCCCUGAGCUCCUUUCAUGAUGGGCUGUGAUGUGGAACUGUGAGCUGAAAUAAAGCCUUUCCUCCCCAAGUUGCUUUUGUUCGUGG